CAACUUUAUCUUGCUGGGAAUCAAAUUACAUCACUUUCUAGCCUUCCUCAAUUUCCUAAUCUGGAGUUUUUAUCUGUUGCUCAAAACAGGUUGAAGUCUCUUGCUAUGGCAAGUCAACCUCGCCUGCAGGUACUGGCUGCAAGUAAGAACAAGAUAUCAACUCUAAAGGGGUUCCCGCAUUUACCAGUACUUGAG